rnacentral:tRNA from 1 species
GCAGAGAUGGCGGAGUGGUCGAACGCGCACGAUUCGAAAUCGUGUGAUGCGGGAACGUAUCCAAGGGUUCAAAUCCCUUUCUCUGCGCCA